rnacentral:rRNA from 1 species
UACGUAGGGUGCAAGCGUUGUCCGGAAUUAUUGGGCGUAAAGAGCUCGUAGGCGGUCUGUCGCGUCGGCUGUGAAAACCUGGGGCUUAACUCCGGGCCUGCAGCCGAUACGGGCAGACUAGAGGUAGGUAGGGGAGAAUGGAAUUCCCGGUGUAGCGGUGAAAUGCGCAGAUAUCGGGAGGAACACCGGUGGCGAAGGCGGUUCUCUGGGCUUUACCUGACGCUGAGGAGCGAAAGCGUGGGGAGCGAGCAGG